ACGGUUCUGAAACGCGUCUAGGAUAAAUCAGUGUGAACAGGACCCAGCCAGUGGUGCGCUAUUUCUGUCUAAGCAACAAAAAAAAGGAUCCGUGCUAUUUAUUAUCUAGAACCACCCAAGAAAAAUCCAUGCGGCAACGGCAGCGACUUAAUCUUUAAAGAGGACUGAUUCAACUACCAUCUAAACAGUUCCUGUGAAGGGGAGUCGAACCCCGUACCGGUAUAGCUCUGCUACACGAACUCCCGCUACUCCGCUGGCGCAGGUGGAUGUCAUCACCGACCAAGUGAACCAUCUACAGGUCAGGUCACGUGAGACGCCGAGAAGGAGAAGCAGUGAUACUACCUCGUGGCAGGAGGUAGUCAGCAGAUACCGCUACGAGAAUAAGUACAAAGUACCCCCCGGAUAUUAUAAGAACAUUCCGUGGACCGCAGGGUGGAUAUCUUCUUACCGAUUGUAUUUUUCUCUACUGUUUCUAGUAGAAAGGGCUCAUCAAGUCCCAGGAGGUAAAUCCAUCCCUGGGAGACAGCCACGGACACUCCUUGCUAAGAUAUUGGUCUCGAGGGACAGAGAUAUGGUAUUAAGAAGGGCGAGGAAGUGCCCCCCUGUUCUAUAUGAUGGAAAUAGACUGGCUUUUUUUCCGGACUUUUCUAGGGAAAUUCAAGAAAGAAGACGCUCUUUUAUCACGGUUAAAAAGCGUUUACGAGAAAAGGAUUUUAAGUACUCACUUGUUUACCCAGCUGAACUCCGGAUUAUCUUUAAGGAUGCAACUCUCUUUUUUCAUACGUCGGACAUGGCUAUGGAUUGGCUUGAUCGAAAUAAUAUCUGAUUAAGCUGCUAUAAAAUAUGACUGGCUGGAUUAAUAUUUGAUUAAACUGUUGUAAAAUCUGA